GACGAACGCUGGCGGCGUGCUUAACACAUGCAAGUCGAACGGUGAAGGGACUGGUUUUGCUGGUCCUGGAUGAGUGGCGAACGGGUGAGUAACACGUGAGUAACCUGCCCCCUUCUUCUGGAUAACCGCAUGAAAGUGUGGCUAAUACGGGAUAUUCUGGGUCUGUCGCAUGGUGGGCCUGGGAAAGAUUGCGCCUUUUUUGGUGUUUUUGGUGGGGGAUGGGCUCGCGGCCUAUCAGCUUGUUGGUGGGGUGAUGGCCUACCAAGGCGGUGACGGGUAGCCGGCCUGAGAGGGUGGACGGUCACACUGGGACUGAGACACGGCCCAGACUCCUACGGGAGGCAGCAGUGGGGAAUAUUGCACAAUGGGCGCAAGCCUGAUGCAGCGACGCCGCGUGAGGGAUGGAGGCCUUCGGGUUGUGAACCUCUUUCGCCAGUGAAGCAGGCCUGCCUCUUUUUGUGGGUGGGUUGACGGUGGCUGGAUAAGAAGCGCCGGCUAACUACGUG
rnacentral:rRNA from 1 species